UACGUAGGGUGCGAGCGUUGUCCGGAAUUAUUGGGCGUAAAGGGCUCGUAGGCGGUCUGUCACGUCCGCUGUGAAAACCCAGGGCUCAACCCUGGGCUUGCAGUGGAUACGGGCAGACUAGAGGUAGGUAGGGGAGAAUGGAAUUCCCGGUGUAGCGGUGAAAUGCGCAGAUAUCGGGAGGAACACCGGUGGCGAAGGCGGUUCUCUGGGCCUUACCUGACGCUGAGGAGCGAAAGCGUGGGGAGCGAACAGG
rnacentral:rRNA from 1 species